rnacentral:rRNA from 1 species
UACGAAGGGGGCUAGCGUUGUUCGGAAUCACUGGGCGUAAAGGGCGCGUAGGCGGCCGAUCAAGUCGGGGGUGAAAGCCUGUGGCUCAACCACAGAAUUGCCUUCGAUACUGUUUGGCUUGAGACCGGAAGAGGUUAGUGGAACUGCGAGUGUAGAGGUGAAAUUCGUAGAUAUUCGGAAGAACACCAGUGGCGAAGGCGGCUCACUGGACUGGUAUUGACGCUGAGGUGCGAAAGCGUGGGGAGCAAACAGG